rnacentral:rRNA from 1 species
UUUUUUGAGAGUUUGAUCCUGGCUCAGGAUGAACGCUGGCGGCGUGCCUAACACAUGCAAGUCGAGCGAACCCCUUCGGGGGAGAGCGGCGGACGGGUGAGUAACGCGUGGGUAACCUACCCUGUACACACGGAUAACAUACCGAAAGGUAUACUAAUACGUGAUGACAUAUCGGACAGGCAUCUGUCAGAUAUCAAAGGUCAGCCGGUACAGGAUGGACCCGCGUCUGAUUAGCUAGUUGGUGAGAUAAAAGCUCACCAAGGCGACGAUCAGUAGCCGACCUGAGAGGGUGAUCGGCCACAUUGGAACUGAGACACGGUCCAAACUCCUACGGGAGGCAGCAGUGGGGAAUAUUGCACAAUGGGCGAAAGCCUGAUGCAGCAACGCCGCGUGAGUGAUGAAGGUUUUCGGAUCGUAAAACUCUGUCCUCAAGGAAGAUAAUGACGGUACUUGAGGAGGAAGCCCCGGCUAACUACGUGCCAGCAGCCGCGGUAAUACGUAGGGGGCUAGCGUUAUCCGGAUUUACUGGGCGUAAAGGGUGCGUAGGCGGUCUUUCAAGUCAGAAGUUAAAUUCUACGGCUCAACCGUAGCCAGCUUUUGAAACUGGAAGACUUGAGUGCAGGAGAGGAGAGUAGAAUUCCUAGUGUAGCGGUGAAAUGCGUAGAUAUUAGGAGGAAUACCAGUAGCGAAGGCGGCUCUCUGGACUGUAACUGACGCUGAGGCACGAAAGCGUGGGGAGCGAACAGGAUUAGAUACCCUGGUAGUCCACGCCGUAAACGAUGAGUACUAGGUGUCGGGGGUUACCCCCCUCGGUGCCGCAGCUAACGCAUUAAGUACUCCGCCUGGGGAGUACGCUCGCAAGAGUGAAACUCAAAGGAAUUGACGGGGACCCGCACAAGUAGCGGAGCAUGUGGUUUAAUUCGAAGCAACGCGAAGAACCUUACCUAAGCUUGACAUCCUGGUGACCUCUCCCUAAUCGGAGAUUUCCCUUCGGGGACACCAGUGACAGGUGGUGCAUGGUUGUCGUCAGCUCGUGUCGUGAGAUGUUGGGUUAAGUCCCGCAACGAGCGCAACCCUUGUCUUUAGUUGCCAUCAUUAAGUUGGGCACUCUAGAGAGACUGCCAGGGAUAACCUGGAGGAAGGUGGGGAUGACGUCAAAUCAUCAUGCCCCUUAUGCUUAGGGCUACACACGUGCUACAAUGGGUGGUACAGAGGGCUGCUAAACCGUAAGGUCAUGCCAAUCCCUUAAAGCCAUUCUCAGUUCGGAUUGUGGGCUGAAACUCGCCCACAUGAAGCUGGAGUUACUAGUAAUCGCAGAUCAGAAUGCUGCGGUGAAUGCGUUCCCGGGUCUUGUACACACCGCCCGUCACACCACGGAAGUUGGAAACACCCGAAGCCGAUUAUCUAACCCUUGGGAGGAAGUCGUCGAAGGUGGCAUCAAUAACUGGGGUGAAGUCGUAACAAGGUAGCCGUAUCGGAAGGUGCGGCUGGAUCACCUCCUUU